ensembl:lincRNA Gm11184 predicted gene 11184
UUUAAAUCGGGGCAUCCAGCUGCCACCAGAUUCCUUGCAGGGUGAGGGAACUGUGUUUCUCCAGUACAAAUGGGGGCCCUCCUAAUCAUUUGGAUCAGGUCUGCCACAAUGUCUGUGAGCACUUCUGGGUCUGGCAGCAACAUCUUCAAUAUCUGAUCCCAAAAGAUAACCCCAGCUGGUGUCAUGAUCCUAGGCAGCACACCCACUGAGCCAGCUCGCUGCCCCAUUGGAUGCUCUGUGAAAGGAGCUGCUUUUCUG